UGAUAUACUGCACUCCACUGAGGCUGAAGUCAUCGACCAUGAGUCAGUGAAUGGCUGGAAAAACAUCAAAAAGAGACGUUCACAUCCGACGUUAAACAUUCUUUUAGAGGCAGGGAAGGGCUUCAGAGACAGAAACAAGGCAAAGCAUUUCCUUAUUGUUUGACUUUCCCUAUCUUUAAACCUUGCAUAUGCCGACAUUUAAGCGUGGACAGAGACAAAAUAAGUAUUGAAAAUUGACCAUAAGUAAGUUGACUGUGUCUAACUGAGAAGCACCUUCUACAGCUGACAAACGAAGCUAACGCUGAUGAGCAAAAAACUGCAGUUCCUCUGAUUGCCGCUCAUGGAUCUCUCCAGCAUGUCCUCACUUGAGCUGCAGGUCUCAUAACAGGACAAAAAAAGCACCGCUGUCCUCUGGAGCGAUGAGGACAAAGAAGGGGAACGAGCCACCAAAGCGUGCUUUCAGUGACACGAGGUCAGUCAUCCAUCCAGAUUACAACACCCGCUGUGGGGGUUGUGGGUGGGUUCCUGCCUGAUACUGAAAGGAGCUCUCACUUUGACACUGUUAUUUCUGGAGCGCCUUCGCCUGAUCGUCAUCUGCUUGGAGCACUCUCCACUCAAACCUGCACAUUUAGCUCAUGUUCACUAAAGCUAACUCGCAGCAUGACAAGCAGCAAGAUGACGAUAAAACUGGCUGUAAUUCACUGCUGAAACGUACUGUAUGUACGCUCAAUGUUUCCCUUAGUGACACCGUACUGAAAGAUUUAGUGAAUAUGAAUAAAAGUUGUUCAUAUAAGGUGGAAUGUCAAAACCUUUUUUAGUCCUUUUCUAUUAAUUCCCCCUAAAAUUUCUCAAUAACUAUAAAUGCUGAGUUAAUAACACUGUACCAAUGAAUAAUACAGCAUUUUAUAAUAAAAAUAAGACAGACUGAACAAACCACAAAUGAUUCUAAAUCUUGGUGAAUCAUCCAUACAACCUUGUAAGAAAAAAAAAAAGGAAAACAAGAAGCAGUAAAUUCAACAUGCAAUGUUCCACAGUAAAUCUUUUAGUUAUUCUUUAGCAGUAAAUUCAGCUUGGAUUUUAUCAUUUGUAGGUCGUCCAUAGGUGAAGUAGCUGUGCUGAUACAUUUGAAAAAUCCCUGUUUGGAAAAUAGGUCAACAUUAAUCCAAAAUCUUUACAACCGUGUUUGGCAUGCAACCACAAAUCGAGGUCAGAAAAUUCCUCUGGCUUGCAAAUUCGAAAGCCGUGCUGUUUAACCUUGUCCUGUAGUUACUGUAAGCCUGGGGAGUUUGCAUGUUCUCUGCUAUUUUUCAGCUGCUUCUGGUUG